UACGUAGGGUGCAAGCGUUAAUCGGAAUUACUGGGCGUAAAGCGUGCGCAGGCGGCUUUGCAAGACAGAUGUGAAAUCCCCGGGCUUAACCUGGGAACUGCAUUUGUGACUGCAUGGCUGGAGUGCGGCAGAGGGGAUGGAAUUCCGGCGUGUAGCAGUGAAAUGCGUAGAUAUGCGGAGGAACACCGAUGGCGAAGGCAGUCCCCUGGGCCUGCACUGACGCUCAUGCACGAAAGCGUGGGAGCAACAGG
rnacentral:rRNA from 1 species